UUAAGCGACUAAGCGUACACGGUGGAUGCCCUGGCAGUCAGAGGCGAUGAAGGACGUGCUAAUCUGCGAAAAGCGUCGGUAAGGUGAUAUGAACCGUUACAGCCGGCGAUGUCCGAAUGGGGAAACCCAGUGCAAUUCGUUGCACUAUCGUUAACUGAAUACAUAGGUUAACGAGGCGAACCGGGGGAACUGAAACAUCUAAGUACCCCGAGGAAAAGAAAUCAACCGAGAUUCCCCCAGUAGCGGCGAGCGAACGGGGAGCAGCCCAGAGUCUGAAUCAGCUUGUGUGUUAGUGGAACGGUCUGGAAAGUCCGACGGUACAGGGUGAUAGUCCCGUACACCAAAAUGCACAGGNUGUGAACUCGAAGAGUAGGGCGGGACACGUGGUAUCCUGUCUGAAUAUGGGGGGACCAUCCUCCAAGGCUAAAUACUCCUGACUGACCGAUAGUGAACCAGUACCGUGAGGGAAAGGCGAAAAGAACCCCGGCGAGGGGAGUGAAAAAGAACCUGAAACCGUGUACGUACAAGCAGUGGGAGCACCUUCGGGUGUGACUGCGUACCUUUUGUAUAAUGGGUCAGCGACUUAUAUUCUGUAGCAAGGUUAACCGUAUAGGGGAGCCGCAGGGAAACCGAGUCUUAACUGGGCGUUAAGUUGCAGGGUAUAGACCCGAAACCCGGUGAUCUAGCCAUGGGCAGGUUGAAGGUUGGGUAACACUAACUGGAGGACCGAACCGACUAAUGUUGAAAAAUUAGCGGAUGACUUGUGGCUGGGGGUGAAAGGCCAAUCAAACCGGGAGAUAGCUGGUUCUCCCCGAAAGCUAUUUAGGUAGCGCCUCGUGAACUCAUCUUCGGGGGUAGAGCACUGUUUCGGCUAGGGGGUCAUCCCGACUUACCAACCCGAUGCAAACUACGAAUACCGAAGAAUGUUAUCACGGGAGACACACGGCGGGUGCUAACGUCCGUCGUGAAGAGGGAAACAACCCAGACCGCCAGCUAAGGUCCCAAAGUCAUGGUUAAGUGGGAAACGAUGUGGGAAGGCACAGACAGCCAGGAUGUUGGCUUAGAAGCAGCCAUCAUUUAAAGAAAGCGUAAUAGCUCACUGGUCGAGUCGGCCUGCGCGGAAGAUGUAACGGGGCUAAACCAUGCACCGAAGCUGCGGCAGCGACACUAUGUGUUGUUGGGUAGGGGAGCGUUCUGUAAGCCUGCGAAGGUGUGCUGUGAGGCAUGCUGGAGGUAUCAGAAGUGCGAAUGCUGACAUAAGUAACGAUAAAGCGGGUGAAAAGCCCGCUCGCCGGAAGACCAAGGGUUCCUGUCCAACGUUAAUCGGGGCAGGGUGAGUCGACCCCUAAGGCGAGGCCGAAAGGCGUAGUCGAUGGGAAACAGGUUAAUAUUCCUGUACUUGGUGUUACUGCGAAGGGGGGACGGAGAAGGCUAUGUUAGCCGGGCGACGGUUGUCCCGGUUUAAGCAUGUAGGCUGNAAAUCGUACCCCAAACCGACACAGGUGGUCAGGUAGAGAAUACCAAGGCGCUUGAGAGAACUCGGGUGAAGGAACUAGGCAAAAUGGUGCCGUAACUUCGGGAGAAGGCACGCUGGUGUGUAGGUGAAGUCCCUGCGGAUGGAGCUGAGACCAGUCGAAGAUACCAGCUGGCUGCAACUGUUUAUUAAAAACACAGCACUGUGCAAACACGAAAGUGGACGUAUACGGUGUGACGCCUGCCCGGUGCCGGAAGGUUAAUUGAUGGGGUUAUCCGUAAGGAGAAGCUCUUGAUCGAAGCCCCGGUAAACGGCGGCCGUAACUAUAACGGUCCUAAGGUAGCGAAAUUCCUUGUCGGGUAAGUUCCGACCUGCACGAAUGGCGUAAUGAUGGCCAGGCUGUCUCCACCCGAGACUCAGUGAAAUUGAACUCGCUGUGAAGAUGCAGUGUACCCGCGGCAAGACGGAAAGACCCCGUGAACCUUUACUAUAGCUUGACACUGAACAUUGAGCCUUGAUGUGUAGGAUAGGUGGGAGGCUUUGAAGCGUGGACGCCAGUCUGCGUGGAGCCAACCUUGAAAUACCACCCUUUAAUGUUUGAUGUUCUAACGUUGGCCCCUGACCGGGGUUGCGGACAGUGUCUGGUGGGUAGUUUGACUGGGGCGGUCUCCUCCCAAAGCGUAACGGAGGAGCACGAAGGUUAGCUAAUCCUGGUCGGACAUCAGGAGGUUAGUGCAAUGGCAUAAGCUAGCUUGACUGCGAGCGUGACGGCGCGAGCAGGUGCGAAAGCAGGUCAUAGUGAUCCGGUGGUUCUGAAUGGAAGGGCCAUCGCUCAACGGAUAAAAGGUACUCCGGGGAUAACAGGCUGAUACCGCCCAAGAGUUCAUAUCGACGGCGGUGUUUGGCACCUCGAUGUCGGCUCAUCACAUCCUGGGGCUGAAGUAGGUCCCAAGGGUAUGGCUGUUCGCCAUUUAAAGUGGUACGCGAGCUGGGUUUAGAACGUCGUGAGACAGUUCGGUCCCUAUC
rnacentral:rRNA from 1 species